AGCGCAGGUGGUUGUAUAAGUCUGAAGUAAAAGGCAGUGGCUCAACCAUUGUGUGCUUUGGAAACUGUACAACUUGAGUGCAGAAGGGGAGAGUGGAAUUCCAUGUGUAGCGGUGAAAUGCGUAGAUAUAUGGAGGAACACCGGUGGCGAAAGCGGCUCUCUGGUCUGUAACUGACACUGAGGCUCGAAAGCUGGGAGCAAACA
rnacentral:rRNA from 1 species